rnacentral:miRNA from 1 species
UAGUGUUUUAGUUGCGUACAAA